UAUCCUAAGAAAAAUCUCUCUGACAAAAAUUCAAUUGCAAUUGAUUUAAACAUUUCAUCAAGCACUUUGGCACUCCAUAUUUGAUAAACAGGAGUUAUGCAAAAUUCAAGAGGACACCCAUAGUAAAAACAUAUACAAAACGCAAAUUACCUGGUGAUAUAUUAGAUACACAUCCAAUCCCACCGUUAUCAAAUCGGGUCCAGAUGAUUUCAACUCCAUCAUAUUCGUCGCUGAUGAUACCUCCGGUGACGCUGUGAUGAGUGCCGAAAAAUAGCAAGCAAGGAAGAGCCUGCAAUAAGAGCGGCAACCUGGAAAGAUGUCAGGAAUUUUGAUGCACACAAAGGAGGAUACAACAGUUGUUCUUGUACAAGUAUAAUGAACGAUUGCAGAAAUUCCUUGGCAAAAUAACUGAAAAAACCGAGCGUGUAGCAUAAACUGGAAGAACGAGUAUUUAAUUUCACGUUAAAUGACAGGCAAAUUUGUAAUUUCAUACUGAUUUUUUUU
rnacentral:lncRNA from 1 species